rnacentral:rRNA from 1 species
UGCAAGUCGAACGGACUUAACCAUUAGUUUACUAUUGGAGCGGUUAGUGGCGGACUGGUGAGUAACACGUAAGCAACCUGCCUAUCAGAGGGGAACAACAGUUAGAAAUGACUGCUAAUACCGCAUAUACCCAAGUGUCACAUGGCACAAUGGGGAAAGGAGCAAUCCGCUGAUAGAUGGGCUUGCGUCUGAUUAGCUAGUUGGUGGGGUAACGGCCUACCAAGGCGACGAUCAGUAGCCGGACUGAGAGGUUGGACGGCCACAUUGGGACUGAGAUACGGCCCAGACUCCUACGGGAGGCAGCAGUCGGGAAUAUUGCGCAAUGGAGGAAACUCUGACGCAGUGACGCCGCGUGCAGGAAGAAGGUUUUCGGAUUGUAAACUGCUUUAGACAGGGAAGAAACAAGACAGUACCUGUAGAAUAAGCUCCGGCUAACUACGUGCCAGCAGCCGCGGUAAUACGUAGGGAGCGAGCGUUAUCCGGAUUUAUUGGGUGUAAAGGGUGCGUAGACGGGAAAAUAAGUUAGUUGUGAAAGCCCUCGGCUUAACUGAGGAACUGCAACUAAAACUGUUUUUCUUGAGUACUGGAGAGGAAAGUGGAAUUCCUAGUGUAGCGGUGAAAUGCGUAGAUAUUAGGAGGAACAUCAGUGGCGAAGGCGGCUUACUGGGCUUUAACUGACGCUGAGGCUCGAAAGCGUGGGGAGCAAACAGGAUUAGAUACCCUGGUAGUCCACGCCGUAAACGAUGAUUACUAGGUGUGGGGGG